GAUGAACGCUGGCGGCGUGCCUUAUACAUGCAAGUCGAGCGACGCGGGGACGGGUGAGUAACACGUGUCUAACCUCCUCUAAGACUGGGAUAACCUCGGCAAACCGGUGCCAAACCCGAUACUUAUCCAUUGCUCCGCCGUGGAUUAGCUAGUGGGUAAGGUAACGGCUUACAAAGGCAACGAUGCAUAGCCGACCUGAGAGGGUGAGCGGCCACACUGGAACUGAGACACGGUCCAGAAGCCUACGGGAGGCAGCAGUAGGGAAUCUUGGGCAAGGGGCGAAAGCCUGACGGAGCAACGCCGCGUGAGUGAUGAAGGUCUUCGGAUCGUAAAACACUGUUGUCAGGGAAGCGGUACCUAAUCAGAAAGCAACGGCUAACUACGUGCCAGCAGCCGCGGUAAUUC
rnacentral:rRNA from 1 species